rnacentral:lncRNA from 1 species
CCCGCAUGAACAAUUUAUCAAACAUGAGAUAGCGUGUGUGUUUAUGAGUGUAUUUGUGGUCACACUGAUGUUUCAUACUGUGGCUAUCAAGUUGAUUAUAGCUCCCGAGAUGGUGGCGGCCGGCUCCCAAGGUGGCAGCAAGACUUUUGUUCUCUGACCUGGGGUUCUUGGCCUCCUGGAUUCCAAAGAAUGGAACCUUGGGGCCAUGCGAUUACUGGUGUGAUUACUGUCUCCUGACUGGACCCUGACUGCUAUAGAAUUGGUACCUGAAAGUGUCACAGAAGACGGAUUCUAAAAGAUGGGUUUUGGGAUUGGGUGAAAUGUUGAGGUUUUUGCUGAUGGGAAUUAGAUGCUAGUAACCCAUGCAUGCAGCAACAUUACAAUUAAGCUAUCACCUCUGAUUAAUUGCAAUUAAAUGCUAAUUAGGUAACUGUUGUGGGAGCUUAUACAGCUGCUGCACUUGACCAUUAUAGAUUCUUCCAAGUGUGUUGGAGUGCUUAGAGAAAGAAAAAAUGACAAGCUCAAGUCCUUUAACUCUUAGAUAAAAUGAUGGUCUUAGAAUCAUACAACUAAUAUGGCAGCAGUAAAGUAUCUCAUUUCUUGUAGUGAUAGGGCUAAUGCUGAAAAUCAAACAUAAAACUUUUUUGCAGAAUUACAGCAUUAGUUGAAUUCACAGCUCUACCAAGUAUCUCAUGUGAGAGUUAGGGCAUUCAUUGGGAAAUAAUGGCUCCUUGAAACUUGAGAUGAGAACAUCUGAUUGGAUUCAGAUUAGCCUGAGAAUCUCUGACUCCUGAGACACUCUAAGCCUCCCUUACCAGUAGAAGUACGUUUCCUUCUUGUGUUGAGAUGUCUAGCUUUCCUGUGAUAAUCUCAGGGGAGCAUGCAUUGAAAAAGGAUGUCCUUUGUUCCCAAGCACAAGGACCCUCUGUUUCCAUCAGUCCCAUAACUACAGCUGUGUGUCAAUAUGCUUAUAGUGCCAGAAAAACUGGAUGGUAGUAGGUUAUACACCUAAAGAAAUUACAAGGUUUUGUGAAUAUGUGUCAGCAGAAACUGAAGAAUAUGUAUGAAAAUAGAUUCUAAAGGUAUUAGAUCAGCAGUCCCCAACCUUUAUGGUACCAGGGACUGGUUUCGUGGAAGAUAAUUUUUCCAUGGACAAAUGGAGGGGUGGGGAUGGUGGUUGGUUUUGGGAUGAAACUAUUCCACCUCAGAUCAUCAGGCAUUAGAUUCUCAUAAGGAUCAUGCAACCUAGAUCGCUUGCAUGUAUAGUUCACAAUAGGGUUCACACUUCUGUAAAAAUCUAAUGCUGCUGCUGAUCUGACAGGAGGUGGAGCUCAGGCAGUAAUGCUUUCCUGCCUGUUGCUCACCUCCUGCUGUGCUGCCCAGUUCCCAACAGGCCACAGACCAGUACCAGUCCAUGGCCUGGGGGGUUGGGAACCCUUGGAUUAGACCAAAGAGGACAGAAUAUCAAAAUGGGUUAAAUGAUAUGAUAUGGUUGCACUUACUAGAGAUUUCAGAUUUAAUGUAUUAGCUCAUGCAGCUGUAGGUGUCUCUAAUAGCAUGCUUGAUGGAUUUACUAAAACGUGGACUGACUGGACUGACUGGUGGUCUGUGUCAAUGAGGUUGAUGUCAGAGCUUCCUUAGCAUGAUGUAGAAAAGGGAACCCAGAGGCUUAGGAAGAUAGGAAGUUUGGAAAUGGGUUUAUUUAUUUAUUUAAUUUUUAAAAAUUAAAAAAAAAUUUUUUUUGAGACAGAGUUUUGCUCUUGUCGCCCAGGCAAGAGUGCAAUGGUGUGAUCUCGGCUCACUGCAACCUCUAUCUCCAGUGUUCAAGUGAUUCUCCUGCCUCAGCCUCCCAAGUAGCUGGGAUUACAGGCACACACCACCAUGCCUGGCUAAUUUUUUUUGUAUUUUAAGUAGAAAUGGGGUUUUGCCACGUUGGCCAGGCUGGUCUUGAACUCUUGACCUCAGGUGAUCUGCCCACUUCAGCCUCCCAAGUUGCUGGGAUUACAGGUGUGAACCACCGUGUCCUGCAGAAAUGGGUUUAUUAUAUGCAACUGCAUGCCUACCCUUCAAUCACAGCCCUUUUAAGUCUUGACACACUUCCAGGGUUACCUGUACCCUAGUUUGAAGGCCACUGCUUGAGUUUGACAGCAACUCAAGAGGGAUGAUACAAGAUCAAGAGGGAUGAUGCAAGAUCUAGAGAGGUUUUCUUGUUUUUGCUUUAAACCAAUAGACUUAAAUAUGUUAAAGAUCUGGGUAGAAGAAGUCAAUAGACAGGGAAAAUGAAAAUCUAGUCAUGAGAAUACACACACACACACACACAUACACACACACACACACCCCACAGCAACUAUCUAAAAAUAUGGUCCUGAGGAUCCUGUGUGAAUGUGGCAGGGUUAUAUCUCCAGGAAUUCACUUGUUGGUUUAUUUUCUUACCCCCUUCCCUUCCAUUCUCUCACUAGGGAGGACACUUUAUUUCUCCUCCCCAGAGCACUAUGAUGGCCAUGAGUUACUUUGUGAGCAGAAACAAAAGCUCAAAGAAGAAAACUGCGGAAGCUUUAACUUCCAGGACCUAUAUAAGACUCUGGCUGGGCAAGAGUGGAGGAAGAUAUGUAGAAAAUUAGGUUUGAAAAGAUGAAGAAAGAAGGAUGUUUUCAGUCCACGAAAGCAGACUAAAAACAGCUUCUUGCCCCUAACCACCCAGUGCUCCAAUAUCCCACCCAGUUCUCACCUCUGCCUGCUCUCUGUCUAUGAUUAACCUACCUUGUAGCAUUCUCAUGCUCUAGUAAGUCUCCUCCUUUAGACACCCUGUGGUAGGGGUGAUGUAUCCCCCUCCAAGUUGGGAUGGAAAGACCCA